rnacentral:rRNA from 1 species
UCCCCUUCGGGGGCAGAGUGACAGGUGGUGCAUGGUUGUCGUCAGCUCSUGUCGUGAGAUGUUGGGUUAAGUCCCGCAACGAGCGCAACCCUUGAUCUUAGUUGCCAGCAUUCAGUUGGGCACUCUAAGGUGACUGCCGGUGACAAACCGGAGGAAGGUGGGGAUGACGUCAAAUCAUCAUGCCCCUUAUGACCUGGGCUACACACGUGCUACAAUGGACAGAACAAAGGGCAGCGAAACCGCGAGGUUAAGCCAAUCCCACAAAUCUGUUCUCAGUUCGGAUCGCAGUCUGCAACUCGACUGCGUGAAGCUGGAAUCGCUAGUAAUCGCGGAUCAGCAUGCCGCGGUGAAUACGUUCCCGGGUCUUGUACACAC